UUUUAAAAUAUCAUCAAUUUGUAUUAUUAAAAAUUGGUCUGGUUGACAAAAAAAUUAGACUGUUGCACGUGGCAUGUCAUUUGUACUUCAUGCUAACGUGCAAAGACCAAUUUUUAACAGCAAAAAUUGAUGAAAAUUUUAAUU
rfam:Gossypium hirsutum cultivar TM-1 unplaced genomic scaffold scaffold3416.1, whole genome shotgun sequence